rnacentral:rRNA from 1 species
GACGAACGCUGGCGGCGUGCUUAACACAUGCAAGUCGAACGGAAAGGCCCUGCUUUUGUGGGGUGCUCGAGUGGCGAACGGGUGAGUAACACGUGAGUAACCUGCCCUUGACUUUGGGAUAACUUCAGGAAACUGGGGUUAAUACCGGAUAGGAGCUCCUGCUGCAUGGUGGGGGUUGGAAAGUUUCGGCGGUUGGGGAUGGACUCGCGGCUUAUCAGCUUGUUGGUGGGGUAGUGGCUUACCAAGGCUGUGACGGGUAGCCGGCCUGAGAGGGUGACCGGCCACAUUGGGACUGAGAGACGGCCCAGACUCCUACGGGAGGCAGCAGUGGGGAAUAUUGCACAAUGGGCGGAAGCCUGAUGCAGCAACGCCGCGUGCGGGAUGACGGCCUUCGGGUUAUAAACCGCUUUCGCCUGUGACGAAGCGUGAGUGACGGUAAUGGGUAAAGAAGCACCGGCUAACUACGUG